AGACAGAGGGUGCAAACGUUGCUCGGAAUUACUGGGCGUAAAGCGCGUGUAGGCUGACUUGUAAGUCAGGUGUGAAAUCCCUGGGCUCAACCUAGGAACUGCAUCUGAAACUGCGAGUCUAGAGUGUUGGAGAGGGAAGCGGAAUUCCUGGUGUAGAGGUGAAAUUCGUAGAUAUCAGGAGGAACACCGGUGGCGAAGGCGGCUUCCUGGACAAUUACUGACGCUGAGACGCGAAAGCGUGGGGAGCAAACAGGAUUAGAAACCCCGGUAGUCC
rnacentral:rRNA from 1 species